GUGAGUUUCACCACUUGCUCCAGGAGCUGCGCCUGGAUGACGGCGAUGACAGCGAUUCCACCGUCUCUCACUCACCCAGUUUGAGGACCUGCUGUCCCGCGUUGGUCCAAGCAUCGCCCACCUAGACACCAACUACAGGCGCUCAAUCCCACCUACAGAGCGCCUGUCCAUCUGCCUGAGGUUCCUUGCCACCGGGGACUCCUUCAGGACCAUCGCGUUCAGUUUCAGAGUCGGUGUGUCCACGGUGUGCCAGAUCACCCCCCAGGUAGCGACGGCCAUCUGGGACUGUGUAGUGGACGACUUCAUAGCUGUGCCUUCACCUGGAGACUGGCGGUCCAUCACAGAGGGAUUCCAGGAGCGCUGGAACUUCCCUCUCUGCUGUGGAGCUCUGGAUGGGAAGCACGUCCAGACAAA